rnacentral:rRNA from 1 species
GAUGAACGCUGGCGGCGUGCCUAAUACAUCCAAGUCGAGCGAACGGACGAGAAGCUUGCUUCUCUGAUGUUAGCGGCGGACGGGUGAGUAACACGUGGAUAACCUACCUAUAAGACUGGGAUAACUUCGGGAAACCGGAGCUAAUACCGGAUGAUAUUUUGAACCGCAUGGUUCAAAAGUGAAAGACGGUCUUGCUGUCACUUAUAGAUGGAUCCGCGCUGCAUUAGCUAGUUGGUAAGGUAACGGCUUACCAAGGCAACGAUGCAUAGCCGACCUGAGAGGGUGAUCGGCCACACUGGAACUGAGACACGGUCCAGACUCCUACGGGUGGCAGCAGUAGGGAAUCUUCCGCAAUGGGCGAAAGCCUGACGGAGCAACGCCGCGUGAGUGAUGAAGGUCUUCGGAUCGUAAAACUCUGUUAUUAGGGAAGAACAUAUGUGUAAGUAACUGUGCACAUCUUGACGGUACCUAAUCAGAAAGCCACGGCUAACUACGUG